rnacentral:lncRNA from 1 species
GAACGGGAUUUCAACAAGACUGAAACGUCAGAAGAAUAUGUCUUUAAAACGGUAAGUAUACUAUGAAAUGUUAUUCCAAUGAACAAUUAAGCCCAUGUUAUAUCAUUUGAAAAUUUUACUAAAAUGAGCGCAGCCUAUUUUAAUGUUUAUGUUUGUAAAUUUAUAAAAAUUCAAUCGGCAAAUAUCUGUAUUUUAGGUAAUGACGUACAUACAUUUUUUUAUAUUCAACAAAAAAGGUGACAUGACGCACACAUAUAUGUAAAUAUAAUGGUAUAUUGGUGUUAGUUAUGUAUAUGAUAUUUAUAAUGAUUAGUGUAUUUUUGAACUUUUUUUCUUUAUAAAACAUAUUAAGGUUACGAACUUAAUUUAUCAUACACAAACAUGAUAAACAUAUGAUAAAGGCACACAUAUAAAUAUCCAUGCAUACAUACGUGAUAUACACGUUCACAUCGUUACCUGAUUAAAUGUUACAAAUUAACAGAAAUGUAUGCGUGGCACGUAUGAUAUUAAAGUUAAAUAACUAUUUUCUUCACCUUUAACUAGUUUUAAGCCUAUUGAUUGAACAAUAGGAUAUCAGUUUUUUUUCUUUCAAAAUACAGCUUAUCUUAAUAAAUGUCUUUUAUAUAGUUCUACUAUAUCUGUCUAUUUUUGAAACGUUUUACUGUAUCUAUUUGGUUACCUUUAUCAUUUGAUACAUAGUGUGCAUAUUUAAGUGUAAAAACACAUGUGGACCAGUAAGGGAUUAAGCUUAAGUGACUGUCUUUGUUUCAAUAAAAAAACAAGUAAACGUGAAAUUUCCAGUUAAAGAAAACCCUCUAAUAAACUGAUAUUUUUCCGUAUGAAGUUACCUUUGCAUCGAGACUUCUCGUUUGAACAUCGACUACUGCACCGCUAACUUGCGAGAGAAAAGAUAACAAUUGAAGAAUUAUAUACCGUAUACAUCAAUGUCAUGAUCCGGUAAACAUUGUAAACUUUGACAACAAACUCGAAAAUAAAAUCUUGCGAUCAACUAUCACUUUAUAAAAUGUUACUUACUGAUAAUACGUUAUAGAUUCGUAAUAAAUAUUAAACAAAAAAUACAAAAAGGACGAAAUUUAGUAUAAUAUAUAUGCAUCAGUUCAAAUAUUUCCUGUUGAUCUCAUUAUUUAAUAUUGCGUCCAUUCCGAAUUAUUCUAUAUGUUUAUUAUUAAAAGAAUGAAAAAAACUAUUUUUUAAUGCAGAUUAGUUCGUUGUUGAUCAGUUAAUAUACGCAAGAUAUUAAAAAUCAGAAAUGUACAAAUUUUAAAACGUCUUUAUCACAUUUAAUGUUUUUAUUAUAAGUGAUCAUUUCUCAUAUGCUAAAUUUGUAUCAUGGGUUUUUAUAUUUUGUUGCAAAUAUUGUUAAAAGCAAAACACCAAAAACACCAAACAGAUUAUGUUUAUAUGGUAAAAAAAAAUGUUUUCCUAUUUUACUAUAUUUCUAUUAAAGAAAACCCAAAAUAAGAUUCCUGAUAAUGCAUCAAUCAGCUGCAUUCCAAAAUGUGUCGAAAUGUAAAUUUAACAUGAAAGGAACUAAUAAAAUUUUCAUCUUUUACAACCCUAUUGUUUCAGGGUGAAGUGGAGAAAAGUAAAUUGAUACUACAAUUAUAGUGAAUGCGAUAUGGAUACAACAAAACUAGUUGACACAACACUUUUAAUGUGCACAGGGAAUGAGUUGAUAAUAUGUGAGUUUGAUGACAACUACUUUCGUAUUAUUCACUUAAAGGGGUCCGUAUGUGCCACUCUCAAUUUAAUUGCAAAACACGAAUAAUCAAGUGUUUAUGAAUACAAACUUCCUGAAACAUUAAGGGGUCAUGUAUUUUCUAAAAAAAAAAACAGUAUGCAUUGGUUAUAGGUUUCCAGUAUAUGUAUUUCAGUAUCGAGUGGAAUAGAUUAGCGUCACUGAUAUCAUGUUAAUGAUUUUUAACUCAGAAAAUGAAACAUUUCGUUUUGUUGAUUUCGAUGUAUAUAUAUUUGACUGGUUGAUGUAUACUAGCCAUUUAAAGGAACCCUUAGAAUGUAUUAUAUCUCUAAAUUUAGAUAUAUUUCUAUUUAGAUGUCCGAAUGAAGCAGAAUUUAGAGGAAAUUAUAAUUGCUUUUCAAUAUCAGAAAAGCAAUUGAUGACAAUCGGGAC